UACGUAGGGGGCAAGCGUUAUCCGGAUUUACUGGGUGUAAAGGGAGCGUAGACGGCAGCGCAAGUCUGGAGUGAAAUCCCAUGGCUUAACCAUGGAACUGCUUUGGAAACUGUGCAGCUGGAGUGCAGGAGAGGUAAGCGGAAUUCCUAGUGUAGCGGUGGAAUGCGUAGAUAUCGGGAGGAACACCAGUGGCGAAGGCGGCCUACUGGGCACUAACUGACGCUGAGGCUCGAAAGCAUGGGUAGCAAACAGG
rnacentral:rRNA from 1 species